CCUACGGGUGGCUGCAGUGGGGAAUAUUGGACAAUGGGGGCAACCCUGAUCCAGCCAUGCCGCGUGUGUGAAGAAGGCCCUCGGGUUGUAAAGCACUUUCAGUGAGGAAGAACGCCUGGUGGUUAAUACCCAUCAGGAAAGACAUCACUCACAGAAGAAGCACCGGCUAACUCCGUGCCAGCAGCCGCGGUAAUACGGAGGGUGCGAGCGUUAAUCGGAAUUACUGGGCGUAAAGCGCGCGUAGGUGGCUUGAUAAGCCGGUUGUGAAAGCCCCGGGCUCAACCUGGGAACGGCAUCCGGAACUGUCAAGCUAGAGUGCAGGAGAGGAAGGUAGAAUUCCCGGGGUAGCGGUGAAAUGCGUAGAGAUCGGGAGGAAUACCAGUGGCGAAGGCGGCCUUCUGGACUGACACUGACACUGAGGUGCGAAAGCGUGGGUAGCAAACAGGAUUAGAUACCCUAGUAGUC
rnacentral:rRNA from 1 species